AGAGUGCUUUCCGACGACAGGUCAACCCUCCUGUCAGUCAGAGCCUGCCUCUCAGAGCCCUUGCCGAACGCCUGGGGCACAUGACUGUGACGGCAUGGGUUGGCGCAUGCGCGCCGUUCUUGGAGUUGGCGCCGGAGUUUUUGCUGGCCGCUGUGAGGCCGGGUCGUCCUUGCCCUCGCUGCUUGAAUGGCUUUAGUGUGCAGCCCGCAGCUUCUUCUCAUACACUCGUGUACACUUAAGAAAUGUCAGCGAUGUGCUAUAUGCUUUUUUUGUCACCCACCCUGGGAAGGAGAAGGGUGUUGUCUCCGUUCACUCUGGAUACCAGAUGAAGUCAUACAGCCUGGGCCUACACCCAGAUGCCCCAACUUGAGCCUUAACCCCUCUGAGCUUUGAUUGUCCCAUCUGUAAAAUGAGGAUAAAAGUCACUCUUCUCAGAGAUGAAGAUUUAACGAGCCCUUCCUUACAACAGGGUCCAGCCAUGCCACAGGGUUUUCAAGUGUGCACACCCAUCACCCCAUUGCUAAAGCUCCAGAUCCUUCCCAAGAAAACUUCCACAUACAGUUGGCAAACUGCCCCAAAGUUUUGUGGGGCCCUCAAAAAGCACUGGUAUCCUCCUCUCUUUGGGAAAAGGAAGCAGGUAGACUCUAAGGGGACAUGCUGACUGGAGGCUCCCUCAGUCAUCAGCAAAGAUAACAUCCUCUUAUUCCUGCAAAAUGUCAAUCACUGUCAGAACAUUAUUUAAUGCCUUCUUAAAAGAAAAAUAGAAAAUAUACUGAUGGAAAAUGGCUGAGUAAAAAAGAAAAAAAAAAAGAAAAAUAGAAAAUAAAGCUGGGCAUGAAUAACACCUGUGACCUGUGACUAACCACUGCACUCCAGCCUGGGGGACA